AGUGAACGCUGGCGGUAGGCCUAACACAUGCAAGUCGAACGGCAGCACAGAGGAGCUUGCUCCUUGGGUGGUGAGUGGCGGACGGGUGAGGAAUACAUCGGAAUCUACUCUGUCGUGGGGGAUAACGUAGGGAAACUUACGCUAAUACCGCAUACGACCUACGGGUGAAAGCAGGGGAUCUUCGGACCCUGCGCGAUUGAAUGAGCCGAUGUCGGAUUAGCUAGUUGGCGGGGUAAAGGCCCACCAAGGCGACGAUCCGUAGCUGGUCUGAGAGGAUGAUCAGCCACACUGGAACUGAGACACGGUCCAGACUCCUACGGGAGGCAGCAGUGGGGAAUAUUGGACAAUGGGCGCAAGCCUGAUCCAGCCAUACCGCGUGGGUGAAGAAGGCCUUCGGGUUGUAAAGCCCUUUUGUUGGGAAAGAAAUCCAUCUGGUUAAUACCCGGAUGGGAUGACGGUACCCAAAGAAUAAGCACCGGCUAACUUCGUGCCAGCCGCCGCCGUAA
rnacentral:rRNA from 1 species